rnacentral:rRNA from 1 species
UACGUAGGGGGCAAGCGUUGUCCGGAAUCAUUGGGCGUAAAGCGCGUGUAGGCGGCUGAGUAAGUCUGCUCUGAAAGCCCGGGGCUCAACCCCGGGAGGCGGGUGGAUACUGCUCAGCUCGAGUCCGGAAGAGGAGUGUGGAAUUCCUGGUGUAGCGGUGAAAUGCGCAGAUAUCAGGAAGAACACCCGUGGCGAAGGCGGCUCUCUGGGACGGUACUGACGCUGAGACGCGAAAGCGUGGGGAGCGAACAGG